rnacentral:rRNA from 1 species
GAUGAACGCUAGCGGCAGGCCUAACACAUGCAAGUCGAGGGGUAAAUGGCAGCAAUGCUAUGAGACCGGCGGACGGGUGCGUAACGCGUAUGCAACAUACCUUGUACAGGGGGAUAGCCCGUGGAAACGCGGAUUAAUAUUCCAUAGUCCAGCUGUAUCGCAUGGUAUAGUUGGUAAAGAUUUAUCGGCACAAGUUUGGCAUGCGUCUGAUUAGCUUGUUGGUAGGGUAACGGCCUACCAAGGCUACGAUCAGUAGGGGUUCUGAGAGGAUUAACCCCCCACACUGGUACUGAGACACGGACCAGACUCCUACGGGAGGCAGCAGUGAGGAAUAUUGCACAAUGGGCGAAAGCCUGAUGCAGCAACGCCGCGUGAGUGACGAAGGCCUUCGGUUGUAAAGCUCUGUCGGUGGGAGAUGUGGUCCGGCUAACGACCGGAUUGUGACGGUACCGAUCAAAGGAAGACACCGGCUAACUCCGUGCCAGCAGCCG